rnacentral:rRNA from 1 species
UACGUAGGGUGCAAGCGUUAAUCGGAAUUACUGGGCGUAAAGCGUGCGCAGGCGGUUAUGCAAGCCAGAUGUGAAAUCCCCGGGCUUAACCUGGGAACCGCAUUUGUGACUGCAUAGCUGGAGUACGGCAGAGGGGGAUGGAAUUCCUCGUGUAGCAGUGAAAUGCGUAGAUAUGCGGAGGAACACCGAUGGCGAAGGCAGUCCCCUGGGCCUGUACUGACGCUCAUGCACGAAAGCGUGGGGAGCAAACAGG